UGAACCUGAGUGAAUGCCGUGACAGCGUCCUGGAGUUCUUGUCAAAGAACCUGCAGAGCGAGUGCAGGGGGAGGCGUCGCUUGGCACUCAGAGGCCUCGUGGUGCUCGGCACCACCAGUGCCUCGAUGGCCAGAAGGAUGUGGAGCCUGCAUGAAAGGCUCGUGGAGCUCCUGCAGGAAAAUGACGGCGUCAUGCUCAGGAUGACCGCGGUUCUCCUCAGAGCUGUAUUUCUCUGCAAAGAGGCCCCAAUGACCAGCGCCCUCGCCCUGCAGCUGGCUGAGGCGCUCCUGCCACUCUUUGACAACGAGGAUAGCCAGGUGCAGUUGAGCUCCAUGUUUAUCUUCCGAGACAUGCUGGAUCGUUUUCCGGAAGAGGAAAAAAAGGCCCUGAAGGCACACGUGCGCCAGAGCCUGCUGCCACUCUCCUUCCACUGCCAUGAUGAGAACCAGCGAGUGGCAGAGGUGAGGCAGGAAACGCUGCUUUGUGCGGCCGAGUUCCUGAAGCAGAGGGAUCUCGAAAAGCUGCUGAAGAACCAGAAGCCGUGGGAGUUCACCGAGUGCCUGCUGGCAGAGGACAGCAGCAGCGUGGCCGAGCACCUGCGCCGGGCCCUGCCCUACCUGCAGAGCCCACAGGAGCCCCUGCGAGAGGCGGCCGUCAGGUUCAUGGGUGAGCCACGAGCCGGGCCAGGAGGCCGUGUGGGCACAGGGCUGGCAGCGCCGCUGGCAGGGAGCUGUGCCGCCGGGCCUGACAGGCUCUGUGUUCCCAGGGACGGCCGGGCGGUACCUGAG
rnacentral:lncRNA from 1 species